rnacentral:rRNA from 1 species
GAUGAACGCUGGCGGCGUGCCUAAUACAUGCAAGUCGAGCGAACGGACGAGAAGCUUGCUUCUCUGAUGUUAGCGGCGGACGGGUGAGUAACACGUGGAUAACCUACCUAUAAGACUGGGAUAACUUCGGGAAACCGGAGCUAAUACCGGAUAAUAUUUUGAACCGCAUGGUUCAAAAGUGAAAGACGGUCUUGCUGUCACUUAUAGAUGGAUCCGCGCUGCAUUAGCUAGUUGGUAAGGUAACGGCUUACCAAGGCAACGAUGCAUAGCCGACCUGAGAGGGUGAUCGGCCACACUGGAACUGAGACACGGUCCAGACUCCUACGGGAGGCAGCAGUAGGGAAUCUUCCGCAAUGGGCGAAAGCCUGACGGAGCAACGCCGCGUGAGUGAUGAAGGUCUUCGGAUCGUAAAACUCUGUUAUUAGGGAGGAACAUAUGUGUAAGUAACUGUGCACAUCUUGACGGUACCUAAUCAGAAAGCCACGGCUAACUACGUGCCAGCAGCCGCGGUAAUACGUAGGUGGCAAGCGUUAUCCGGAAUUAUUGGGCGUAAAGCGCGCGUAGGCGGUUUUUUAAGUCUGAUGUGAAAGCCCACGGCUCAACCGUGGAGGGUCAUUGGAAACUGGAAAACUUGAGUGCAGAAGAGGAAAGUGGAAUUCCAUGUGUAGCGGUGAAAUGCGCAGAGAUAUGGAGGAACACCAGUGGCGAAGGCGACUUUCUGGUCUGUAACUGACGCUGAUGUGCGAAAGCGUGGGGAUCAAACAGGAUUAGAUACCCUGGUAGUCCACGCCGUAAACGAUGAGUGCUAAGUGUUAGGGGGUUUCCGCCCCUUAGUGCUGCAGCUAACGCAUUAAGCACUCCGCCUGGGGAGUACGACCGCAAGGUUGAAACUCAAAGGAAUUGACGGGGACCCGCACAAGCGGUGGAGCAUGUGGUUUAAUUCGAAGCAACGCGAAGAACCUUACCAAAUCUUGACAUCCUUUGACAACUCUAGAGAUAGAGCCUUCCCCUUCGGGGGACAAAGUGACAGGUGGUGCAUGGUUGUCGUCAGCUCGUGUCGUGAGAUGUUGGGUUAAGUCCCGCAACGAGCGCAACCCUUAAGCUUAGUUGCCAUCAUUAAGUUGGGCACUCUAAGUUGACUGCCGGUGACAAACCGGAGGAAGGUGGGGAUGACGUCAAAUCAUCAUGCCCCUUAUGAUUUGGGCUACACACGUGCUACAAUGGACAAUACAAAGGGCAGCGAAACCGCGAGGUCAAGCAAAUCCCAUAAAGUUGUUCUCAGUUCGGAUUGUAGUCUGCAACUCGACUAUAUGAAGCUGGAAUCGCUAGUAAUCGUAGAUCAGCAUGCUACGGUGAAUACGUUCCCGGGUCU